CCUACGGGUGGCAGCAGUGGGGAAUAUUGGACAAUGGGGGAAACCCUGAUCCAGCCAUGCCGCGUGUGUGAAGAAGGCUCUAGGGUUGUAAAGCACUUUCAGUAGGGAGGAAAAGUUGAUAGCUAAUAACUGUCAGCCCUGACGUUACCUACAGAAGAAGCACCGGCAAACUCCGUGCCAGCAGCCGCGGUAAUACGGAGGGUGCGAGCGUUAAUCGGAAUUACUGGGCGUAAAGCGCGCGUAGGCGGUUUGAUAAGCUGGAUGUGAAAGCCCCGGGCUCAACCUGGGAACUGCAUCCAGAACUGUCUGACUAGAGUACAGUAGAGGUGAGUGGAAUUUCCUGUGUAGCGGUGAAAUGCGUAGAUAUAGGAAGGAACAUCAGUGGCGAAGGCGGCUCACUGGACUGAUACUGACGCUGAGGUGCGAAAGCGUGGGGAGCA
rnacentral:rRNA from 1 species